GCGCGAUGAUGAAAAUUGGUUCCUUACAUUCGCAGUUUCCACGGUAGGAGUACGCCAACGAACCCAUCGUAUAGUGCUCCCGGUGACCGCUCUUAUGAGACCUUCCUAGGAUGUCUGAGUGC
rnacentral:snoRNA from 1 species